rnacentral:rRNA from 1 species
GACGAACGCUGGCGGCGUGCUUAACACAUGCAAGUCGAACGAAGAGCGAUGGAAGCUUGCUUCUAUCAAUCUUAGUGGCGCACGGGUGAGUAACGCGUAAUCAACCUGCCCUUCAGAGGGGGACAACAGUUGGAAACGACUGCUAAUACCGCAUACGAUCUAAUCUCGGCAUCGAGGAUAGAUGAAAGGUGGCCUCUACAUGUAAGCUAUCACUGAAGGAGGGGAUUGCGUCUGAUUAGCUAGUUGGAGGGGUAACGGCCCACCAAGGCGAUGAUCAGUAGCCGGUCUGAGAGGAUGAACGGCCACAUUGGGACUGAGACACGGCCCAGACUCCUACGGGAGGCAGCAGUGGGGAAUCUUCCGCAAUGGACGAAAGUCUGACGGAGCAACGCCGCGUGAGUGAUGACGGCCGUCGGGUUGUAAAGCUCUGUUAAUCGGGACGAAAGGCCUUCUUGCGAAUAGUGAGAAGGAUUGACGGUACCGGAAUAGAAAGCCACGGCUAACUACGUG